GAGGCAGCAGUGGGGAAUUUUCCGCAAUGGGCGAAAGCCUGACGGAGCAAUACCGCGUGAGGGAUGACGACCUAUGGGUUGUAAACCUCUUUUUUCAGGGAGGAAAAAAAUGACGUUACCUGAAGAAUAAGCAUCGGCUAACUCCGUGCCAGCAGCCGCGGUAAGACGGAGGAUGCAAGUGUUAUCCGGAAUCACUGGGCGUAAAGCGUCUGUAGGUGGUUUAAUAAGUCAACUGUUAAAUCUUGAGGCUCAACCUCGAAACCGCAGUCGAAACUAUUAGACUAGAGUAUAGUAGGGGUAAAGGGAAUUUCCAGUGGAGCGGUGAAAUGCGUAGAGAUUGGAAAGAACACCGAUGGCGAAGGCACUUUACUGGGCUAUUACUAACACUGAGAGACGAAAGCUAGGGUAGCAAAUGGGAUUAGAUACCCCAGUAGUCCUAGCUGUAAACAAUGGAUACUAGAUGUUGAACAGAUCGACCUGUGCAGUAUCAAAGCUAACGCGUUAAGUAUCCCGCCUGGGAAGUAUGCUCGCAAGAGUGAAACUCAAAGGAAUUG
rnacentral:rRNA from 1 species